rnacentral:rRNA from 1 species
UAACAAGGAUUCCCCUAGUAACUGCGAGUGAAGCGGGAAAAGCUCAAAUUUAAAAUCUGGCAGUCUUUGGCUGUCCGAGUUGUAUUCUAGAGAAGCGCUUUCCGUGCCGGACCGUGUACAAGUCUCUUGGAACAGAGCGUCAUAGAGGGUGAGAAUCCCGUCUUUGACAUGGACUACCGGUGCUUUGUGAUGCGUUUUCAAAGAGUCGAGUUGUUUGGGAAUGCAGCUCAAAAUGGGUGGUAAAUUCCAUCUAAAGCUAAAUAUUGGCGAGAGACCGAUAGCGAACAAGUACCGUGAGGGAAAGAUGAAAAGCACUUUGGAAAGAGAGUUAAACAGUACGUGAAAUUGCUGAAAGGGAAACGCUUGAAGUCAGUCGCGUUGUUCAGAACUCAGCCUGGCUUUUGCUUGGUGCACUUUCUGAAUGACGGGCCAGCAUCAAUUUCGACUGUUGGAUAAAGGCCAGAGAAAUGUGGCUCCUUUGGGAGUGUUAUAGUCUCUGGUUGCAUACAAUGGUUGGGAUUGAGGAACUCAGCAUGCCUUUAUGGUCGGGGUUCGCCCACGUUCAUGCUUAGGAUGCUGGCGUAA